AUUCCUACGGGAGGCAGCAGUGGGGAAUCUUGGACAAUGGGCGCAAGCCUGAUCCAGCCAUGCCGCGUGAGUGAUGAAGGCCUUAGGGUCGUAAAGCUCUUUCGCCAGAGAUGAUAAUGACAGUAUCUGGUAAAGAAACCCCGGCUAACUCCGUGCCAGCAGCCGCGGUAAUACGGAGGGGGUUAGCGUUGUUCGGAAUUACUGGGCGUAAAGCGCGCGUAGGCGGAUUAGUCAGUUAGAGGUGAAAUCCCGGGGCUCAACCCCGGAACUGCCUUUAAUACUGCUAGUCUUGAGUUCGAGAGAGGUGAGUGGAAUUCCGAGUGUAGAGGUGAAAUUCGUAGAUAUUCGGAGGAACACCAGUGGCGAAGGCGGCUCACUGGCUCGAUACUGACGCUGAGGUGCGAAAGUGUGGGGAGCAAACAGGAUUAGAUACCCUAGUAGUCCACACCGUAAACGAUGAAUGCCAGUCGUCGGGUAGCAUGCUAUUCGGUGACACACCUAACGGAUUAAGCAUUCCGCCUGGGGAGUACGGUCGCAAGAUUAAAACUCAAAGGAAU
rnacentral:rRNA from 1 species